AUCCUUUGCUGUAAGUAUUUUCUCCUUUUUUUUCUUGAAUUUUGUUUAUGGUGUCUUCUGUCAUACAGAAGUUCAUAUUCUUGAGGUAGUCAAAUUUUUCAGUCUUUCAUGUGUUUUUGUACCUUGUUUCCUUUUCUAUACCAAGUCAUGAAAAACAUCUUCCUGCAUCAUAUUAAAAUAUUUCUUUGCAUCUAGGUUCUUCAUGAGAAGAAUAUUCUAGGUAUGUAAGGCAUUACCUACAUAGCAGGUGUAGCUGCCCAACCCAGGUGGGAGGUUUAGACCCUGACACCGCAGAACUGUCACACAAUCCUCACUGAAGGCUUGAGCAAUCCCAACAGUUUCCAGCAGAGGACAGUGUCUGAGUGAGUGUGCCUCCCUAUAUUGGGACCCUCAAGGGUUCCCUGACUCACCAAAGGGAACAUUUUAACUGCUCUAAAACUAGCAAGUGCCAGUGAAGAGAAAAUAUGUCUAGUCAGGGAAAAGAUGAGGAGCAAAGUCUGUUGCAAGUGUGCUACAUGGUGGGAAAUAAAACAGGGCCCAGGGGAAAGUGUCCUGGUAUAGUCUGUGUGUUAUGACUGCAUUUGGGGAAGAACUGAUCAAAGUUAGCCAGGAUCACAGAGGGUUUUCUCCAAGGGCAGCUUUGAUGUCUGCUUAUGUCUGGUCCACACACUUGAGAUGAAAUCUCAAGCUCUACAGAGGAAAUGUGAUUUACUGGACAAACAGCAAGCAGGAUGGAAACAUGCAAUCCCCAAACUUAUCCUUUUGAUUCCAUCAAUAAUGCAAGCCCUGUCUUCUUCAGAGGGGAAACUGAGGAAACAACAGGCAGUGCUAUUCAGUACAGUUCCCACCCCACCUCACCCCAGGUACAUCCUGGGCUAGCAGGUGUUUUCUGUUGUUUCUUGGUUUAAUACCAUCCAAGGUGGGAUUAACUAUAUCAUCAUGAACCCAGAAGAGAUUUGGUGGUGAAAUUCAUAGAUUUUGAUAAAUAUAUUGAACCACACAAAUUCGCAAAUCUGACUCAGCCUCUCAGCUCACGUGCUGGGCUGUCUCUGUUGUCCCUGCUCAUCCAUUCUCCACCUUUCUGGCCCUGCCUUGUGCCCGGGGAGACUGCCUGUGCGAACUGAGUCGCAGUUCCUUCUUCAUUGGUUUCUGAUUUGGAUGAACUGAUGAGAAGCACCUGCAAGAAGAGAGGUUUAUGGAUUUAUUCCCCAGGCUCCCUGCCUGCUGGGCUGUGGCUGGCAGCAGCUUCAUUUCUCUGAAGACUCAGGGUAGUCCUACAGCUAUAGGAAAAACUAACCACUCUCUCUUCUUCCCCUCUCAUGCCUUGGGGUGUUAGAGCUUUCCAGAUAGCCUGGGUGCUUCCCUAACCCUGGGUUGGCCUCCUUUAGUCCUUUAUUAACUUCUCUUUAGUCAUCUCUUCUGAGUGUACUGUUUGAUCCCUGCCCCAACCCAAUCCAGACUAAUGCAGAAACCUAAAUCUAUCUGGAGUCUUCAUCCUGAAACAGAUCAAAUGUACUGUUAAAAUUUUAUCAUAUGCACACACAAUCUCCAAGCCCAGUGGUGCCUGCUGCCCACACGCUUUUCCAAGAGCCAGUACAAGUCAUUGCAAACCUGCCUAAAAAACCCCUCAAUAGCUGGGUUCAUUUUCUGUAAUUCUCUAGUGUUUAGUUAUCAAAUACCCCUUCCCCUAGGCUCACAGAAAUGUCUCAUUGCUAUAAAUGCUCUUCAAUUCCAUUUUAAACUUUAAAGGCAAACAACCUGGAAGAUGAAAGGAUCACAAGAACCAAUUUUGAUGCCUUGAUGGUUUGACUAAUUCAUUGAGAGAUGGUUGCAAAAAGUUGCCACAGAUGUAAAUUAUUGCAUUUCUAGGCAACUCUCCCCUUCAGGGAGCGGAUUGCUGUUCUGUAAGCUAAAUAGUCACAAUAAACAGGCACUGCAAGUAGAUAGGUGCCCAUCUCUCCACCAGAUACACAUGACAAAGUGACCUGGUGCCCCACCCCAUCCCUUCUCUUCUCCUUCCACCCACAGCAGAGGUAUGAGUGAACAAAGCCCAGAGAUCCCAUUAGGAGGAAGGGACCCUGAUCAAUACAUGAGAUCACCAAGAAUACCCGAGAGAAGUUUGGACACCUGCUUUAAUUAAACACUAGGACGUACUAAUCAUAGUAGAAUCAGAAUCCAUAUCAAGAGGAAGAUGGGUAGCCUAAGAGCCUAUAGAAUAAAACAGCAGGACUGUUCAGCCAUUGGGACCUCCUUUUCCCUGCCUGCUCAACGCCUGGCCCACAGAGAUGCUCGGUUGGCUCUUGUGUGCUAGAAAAAUCUCUGAACUUCUUCAUAUUAUUUGCUAAAUGGGACAUAACUCUCUUCAGAAGGCCUGCGUACAGGUGGGUGAACAGAUAAAGCCACCUGAGAAGGAAGAAGGGCCCAUAUUGGUGGGUAAUACAGGGUGUCCCUGAGCCUGGCUGGUGAGGAGCUGCACUCAAACCUCCCUCCCUCCCUUCCACAGCCUCCUGCACCUCAUUUAUUGUUAAUGCUGUUUCCACUGGCUCGUUUGCAAAUAGCUUGAAUAAAACAUCAGAGCAGGGAGGGGGGCAGCACUCAUGGUCUUCCAUGACUGCCUCUGCUGUGUUCCUUCCCUCCUUCCUUUUUCUCAGUUUCCUUCUCCCUUCAUUACUCUGAUUAACAGUCAUGAUAUAAUUGGCUUGUCCUGAAACAGCCAAAUAGGACUCACGGGCUCUUGCAGGGAUGGUGAGGAGAAUGGUUCGGACAGGCCCAGCAUUUGUUUUUCCUUUCUGUUUUCCUGGAUGGAGGGAGGAAAAAAGCAAAGGCUGAAUUUGCAACCUUAGAGAGGAGAUCUCAGGAUCAAGUGGUGGCUCUGCUCCUCCCAGGAAACUGUCUCAGACCACAGGAGGAUGGCAAGGGCUCAUCCUGGAGAGGACCACUCAGGCCCUGUCGGGUGGGAAGCCCCAUGGCUGCUACCACAGGGGACACCAGUCCAGCUAGAGAGGCAAACCUAUGCACCAUCUGAGACAAGGCUGAUUAGGGAAAACACAGCCAUAGAGACAUAUACUGAACAUGAGGCUCAAUCCAUACCCCCAGCUGCACAGGGAACAGUUUCUGUUAUUUUCUCUAGCUUAGCUUAAUUACUGACUCUCCUGUUUCUUCCAGCAACCACUUCCUUGUGUUUCCUGAUAGCUUUCUCACUAAAAAGUGCAUCCCUUAAAACACUAUAAUUUAGUACUGCCAAUUUCUAAAACUGUGGUAGGUCUUUAAAAUCAUUUUUAACCUACAAAUUCCACAAACUCCCUCUUAUUAUUUAUAAAUUUUCUGUUUGAGAUCCUGAGCCUUUUAACCUGUCAAGUUUCCCACAGUCUGGAUUUAGCUGAUUGCAUAUUCAAGGAACAGUUUAAUAUGUUCCAAUGAGACUGUAUUUCCUGCAAAUUAGUAGCAGGAUCCAAAGGCUUGAUUAGGCUUAAGUUUGAUCCCUUUGGCAAGAUUAUAGAUGGUGGUGUGUUUUUCAUCAGGAGGCACAUCGUGUCUGCAUGUCCCCUUUUUGUGAUA